UUUGCUUCUCAGCCUUUUGGCUGAGAUCAAGUGUAGUAUCUGUUCUUAUCAGUUUAAUAUCUGAUACAUCCUCUAUAUGCAGACUACAUAUGAAAUGGGUUUUUAGAUCACGGAGACGGAAGAGGGGCUUGCUCCGUCCAUUCCACACAUCUCCUUGGGGCAGUCGUGCAGGUUGGGGAACUGGCC
ensembl:snRNA U2 U2 spliceosomal RNA